GCGCGCGUAGCUCAGUUGGUAGAGCAGUCGACUUAUACUCGAUCGGUCGGGGGUUCGAGUCCCUCCGCGCGCA
rnacentral:tRNA from 1 species